UACGAAGGGUGCAAGCGUUAAUCGGAAUUACUGGGCGUAAAGCGUGCGUAGGUGGUCUUUUAAGUCCGUUGUGAAAGCCCUGGGCUCAACCUGGGAAUGGCAGUGGAUACUGGAAGGCUGGAGUACGGUAGAGGAGGGUGGAAUUCCCGGUGUAGCGGUGAAAUGCGUAGAGAUCGGGAGGAACAUCAGUGGCGAAGGCGGCCCUCUGGACCAGUACUGACGCUGAGGCACGAAAGCGUGGGGAGCAAACGGG
rnacentral:rRNA from 1 species